ACGACCUUACUUGAACAGGAUCUGUUCUAUAGGCUCGUACCUCUGCAUCCUUGAGUUCUAAGGAGGCAAGAAACCAAGUCUGGUGGAUGAGCCAUGGCUGCAUGACCAGAGCGUGAUUAGCAGCCACCCCUGGUUCAGCCCAUGAGCCAUGGGCGAGCCGCAGAGGAUCGUUCUCGGCUGGCUUCGGCCCUCCGGGGUGGUCCUGCAGCUGUCUGACAGACA